rnacentral:tRNA from 117 species
GCGCCUGUAGCUCAGCUGGAUAGAGCGUUGGCCUCCGGAGCCAAAGGCCGAAGGUUCGAAUCCUUUCAGGCGCGCCA